rnacentral:rRNA from 1 species
GAUGAACGCUGGCGGCGUGCUUAACACAUGCAAGUCGAACGGAAAGGCCCUGCUUUUGCGGGUUGCUCGAGUGGCGAACGGGUGAGUAACACGUGAGUAACCCCCCCCUGACUUUCGGAUAACUUCAGGAAACUGCGGCUAAUACCGGAUAGGAUCUCCUGCUCCAUGGUGGGGGUUGGAAAGUUUCGGCGUUUGGGGAUGGUCUCGCGGGAUAUGCGCUUGAUUGGGUGGUUGUGGCUUACCAAGGUUUUGACGGGUAGCCCGCCUGAGAGGGUGACCGGCCACACUGGGACUGAGGGACGGCCCAGACUCCUACGGGCGGCAGAAGGGGGGAAUCUUGCACAAUGGGCGGAAGCCUGAUGCAGCAACGCCGCGUGCGGGAUGACGGCCUUCGGGUUGUAAACCGAUUUCGCCUGUGACGAAGCGUGAGUGACGGUAAUGGGUAAAGAAGCACCGGCUAACUACGUG